AUGGCGGAGCUUGCGUCGGGCGCGGUGAGCUCGCUGCUGGGCGUCAUCCGCAACGAGGCCCUGCUGCUGGGCCGCGUCCGGCAUGACGUGCAGUUCAUCCAGGAGGAGAUGGAGAGCAUGCAGAGCUUCUUAGCGCACCUGUCAAAGAAGGCGCCCGGCGGUGGCGAGCAGGACGAGCAGAUGCGCACGUGGAUGAACCAGGUCCGGGUGCUCGCCCAGGACAGCAGCAACUGCAUCGACAUGUACCUGUACCGCGGCAACCCCGAGCUCCAUCUCGCCAGCGGCGGCCUCCGGCGCUACGUCUUCUGGCUUCCCUGGUUUGUGCACAAGAUGGUGGCCCAGCGUCGUGCGGCCAUCCAACUGGGUGUCCUCAGGGAAAGGGCGCAUGACAUUGGCGAGCGGCGAACCAGGUAUGGCGUUGAGGUCCCGGUGAAGGAGGCGGCAACGGCACUGUCGCCUACAGUGGAGGAGCAAGCAUCCGCAUCAUCCGCUAGUUCCAGAGAUGAAAAAGAAAAGAGCAACGAUCAACUCAUGCUAGCAAUGGCAACGACUAACCACUCUGGUGAAGCUUCGGCAAUGUCGGAAAAACAUUGUCCCAGCAGGCCCAGUGUCAUGGUCGACAUCCCAGCAGUGCACUUGUUUGCUCGAGCCCUUCGAACUCGGGACAUUCUGUACUACAUCCUGCGGAAGCUUCAAUCUGCCGAACCACAGCCCCAGCAACAGCAAGGUCAUGUCAGCAAAGACGAGACUGAAAAAAUAAAAAGUGAUAUUCGCUUAGAAAAAUGGAGGCUGCUCAAUCAAUUGACAGAACAAAUCCAAGUAAUGAACCUGGACAACAAGUUUGAAGAAAUCAAGAACAUCAUGGAAAAAAUGAAGGGCGGACAGCUGCAGAUAAACCUGAAACAAAUGGAUGAAGACCCGCUGGGUCUGCCAGAAUCCGUUAAAGAUAAACCCUUAGGCGUACUCCUCCAAGCGCUGUGGCAGCUCAAGCACAAGCCAGUUGAAGGUGCGCCUGCUACCAAACAAGACCUAGAAAGGAAGGAAGACACAAUCAGAGACCUAGAAAGGAAGGAAGACACAAUCACGCACGAGGCUAUCAUCAAGGGAACAGCCAAGAAGCUUAAAGGGCAUAUGGAAGAAGAUGAAGGAAAGGCAAUUCGUCUCAAUGAAGCCCAUUAUGAACAGAUCCUAAGGGAGGUGUUCCCCCAGGUGACCACCAAGAAGCGCCCACAGAUCCAGGAGCAAGCCACCGCCGUCAGCACCACUAGCACCAUUAUAUUGGUCGAGGAUCAAAUCAAAGAAAUGAUCCGCAAGGUCCUUCAGGAGAAAUCCGUGCACAAACCAGAUUGUAUUCCGGAUGCUCUAAUUGAAGAAACCAUAGCAAAGAUUCGGGAAAUAGAGUGCACGACGAAAGACCAGCUCCAGAUCAAAGGAAUCAUGGACAAAAUUGAAGAUCGUUUGAUGAGCCAAGAUGGCCAGAUCCUUGUUAUCCUCAAACUUGAUGAUGACUGGGUAUCUAGAUGGGAGGAGAAUAACAUAGCACGAGCCAAAGAAUAUUGUUGGCCAGUGCGGGAGCCUAUAGACUAUUGUCUUCUUGGCCUCUACCGUGAUACUGCACUUGAGCUUACAAAAAACCACAUGCUUGAAGAUAACCCGAAGAUUUAUAUUGACAUCUUGGACAAGUGUAAGCAACAAGAAUUCUGCAUGAAGAUCUUCAUUCAUGCUUUGCAUGCCAACCCCAAGAGGAACCAUGAAGAGCUAAGCCAGUUGCACAAAGCCCUGCAGCCGGUACCUCAAGCUUCACACACAUCUGGGCACAACUCAUUUGACAGCAAUAUCAUUGCUAAGAAGAUGUUCAUGUUCUCUUACAGUGACCUGCCUAAGGAAUACAGGUCCUGCUUGCUAUACCUAGCAAUCUUCCCUCGACGACAACACUUCAGGCGGUCAACCUUGAUAGGACGGUGGGUUGUAGAGGGGUUGAUAACCAAGCAAGACUGGGCGAGUUCUGUUCGACAUGCCAAUCGAUGUUUUGAUGCGCUAAUUAACCGGUGGCUUGUUUAUCCUGCUGAUAUUGGUUCAACAGGACAGGUGAAGAGCUGUGUAAUAGCUGAUGUAGUUCAUGGAUUCAUAACCAAGAUCGCCAGAAAACAGCGCAUUAUAGAAACACGGCUAUCACAUUACUUGGCUCGCCACUUCUCCAUUUUCAACAAUCUUCGAAUCCGUCGCUCUGAUAAAAUCAACAGAUUCUUCGAAAAGCUCUAUGAAGAAUCAUUUCGAGUAUCCAUUAUCAAGGUGCUAGAUCUAGAAGACUGUAAAUGCUUUGGUGGUAAGAACCAGCGGUACCUCAAGGACAUCUGCAGAACAAUGGUACUGCUCAAGUAUCUGAGUCUAAGGGGAACAGAUGUUAAACAGCUGCCUAGUGAAAUCAACAACCUCCGUGAGCUGGAAGUAUUGAAUAUUCGGGACAUCCAUGUGCCUGAGUCUGCAACAGUAAAUGUCCUACUCCUGAAGCUGAAGCGUUUGCUGGCUGGACACACUGUGCCGAGGGCAGGCAGUACUGAAAUAUCUUAUGUUCCUGACAAGAUCGGAAAAAUGUUAAACAUGGAGGUAUUGUCCAAUGUCAAGGCACAAAAUCGUCAAGUUUUGAAAGAUAUUGGAAAGCUGUGGCAACUGAGGAAGCUUGGUGUGGUUAUUGGAGACAAUGACAAACUCAUUAGGAAUUUGCUUCGAGCUAUUAGUGACUUGCAUGAGUGCCUCAAGUCUCUGUCAAUCACUCUUCCCAUGACUGAGCAAGAUCCUUCCAACGAAGAUUUUCCAUGUACUGUUCUCCAAUAUUAUAAACAACCUCCCAAGCUUCUUCUUGAGAGCCUAAGCAUUACUGGAACCACAAAAAAGGGGCAACUUCUUCAAGUGCUGACCAAACAUAACGACUUCUUGCAACUUGCGAAGAUAACUCUAACUGGAACCCGACUGAAGCAGGAUGAUCUGAAGGUCCUCAACAAACUUCCCAAUAUAGUUUGUCUCAGGCUCCGAGACAAAGCAUACAUCGACAGCAAGCUCACCUUCGAGAAUGACAAAUUCAAAAAUCUCAAGUGCUUUCUUGUUGAGGGCUCCAACAUAACUGACAUCUUGUUUGAAGGUGGGGCCCUUAAGCUGGAGAAGAUCACUUUAUGCUCAACCGAUGGCAUACAAUCUCUUUCUGGGGUCGAAGCCCUUCCAGAACUGAAGGAAGUCGAGUUGAACAACAACAACAACAAGCUUUCAUUAUUUGACAAGGUUGAGAAAGUUUCCAAGGUGACUCUUUGUAGUACCAAACUGAGCGAAGAUGACCUGAAAAUGUUCGCCAAGAUACGAUAUAUGCGCUGCCUAGUCCUGAAGGAGAAAGCUUGUGUUGAAAGCCAGAUUAAGUUCAACAAAGAUGAGUUCCCAAGUCUCAACCUUCUUAUUGUCGAUAGUUCUGCCAUCACCAAGAUAGAGUUCGCCAGCGGAUCUGCUCCUAAGCUUGAGAAAAUCAUCUGGUCGUUCACAAGGGGCACGGUGGGGAGUCUGUCCGGCAUUGGCAACCUUCCAAAAUUGAAGGAGCUCGAAAAACCAAUACCAAGAAAUGGGAAACAUAGAAGAAAUGGGCAAGGCCGCAAGAUUCCCAUCCUGCUGGAAGAGCCAGGAUUGAUGCCGGAGGUGCCGUUCCUAUCAUAUCCAUUCAUCAUCGACUCCCAUCCCAUGGUGUGGAUUUUCAUACAAGUGCGUGCUAAUGGUUGCUACGUUGACGAGUUAAUUACUCAGGCGCUAAGAAGGAGGCCGUGCAAGUCUGGCCAUCAUCCUAGCAAGCUAGUAGGGCAUUCCAAGAUCUAUCCAAAGCACUACUACUGUCGAGAGACGCUCGAGCCCAUGAGACAUUCAAAGUGGCAAAGUACUACUGCUACAUGGAGCCCAAUAAUUCGAUCCAUACACGAGAACGCGAGAGGUUAG
rnacentral:rRNA from 1 species